rnacentral:rRNA from 1 species
GCACAAUGGGGGAAACCGUGAUGCAGCGACGCCGCGUGAAGGAUGAAGGAUUUCGGUUCGUAAACUUUUAUCAGCAGGGAAGAAAAUGACUGUACCUGAAUAAGAAGCCCCGGCUAACUACGUGCCAGCAGCCGCGGUAAUAGGUAGGGGGCAAGCGUUUUCCGGAAUUACUGGGUGUAAAGGGUGCGUAGGCGGUAAAGUAAGUUAGGUGUGAAAGCCCGGGGCUCAACCUGGGGACUGCACUUAAAACUGCUUUACUAGAAUACAGGAGAGGUAAGUGGAAUUCCUAGUGUAGCGGUGAAAUGCGUAGAUAUUAGGAGGAACACCAGUGGAGAAGGCGACUUACUGGACUGUGAUUGACGCUGAGGCAAGAAAGCGUGGGGAGCGAACAGGAUUAGAUCCCCUGGUAGUCCACGCUGUAAACGAUGAAUGCUA